UGCAAGUCGAACGGUAACAGGGAGCUUGCUCCGCUGACGAGUGGCGAACGGGUGAGUAAUGCAUCGGAACGUACCCAGUCGUGGGGGAUAACGUAGCGAAAGUUACGCUAAUACCGCAUACGUCCUGAGGGAGAAAGCGGGGGACCGUAAGGCCUCGCGCGAUUGGAGCGGCCGAUGUCGGAUUAGCUAGUUGGUAGGGUAAAGGCCUACCAAGGCGACGAUCCGUAGCGGGUCUGAGAGGAUGAUCCGCCACACUGGGACUGAGACACGGCCCAGACUCCUACGGGAGGCAGCAGUGGGGAAUUUUGGACAAUGGGCGAAAGCCUGAUCCAGCCAUGCCGCGUGAGUGAAGAAGGCCUUCGGGUUGUAAAGCUCUUUCAGACGGAAAGAAAUCGCAUCUUCUAAUACAGGGUGUGGAUGACGGUACCGUAAGAAGAAGCACCGGCUAACUACGUGCCAGCAGCCGCGGUAAUACGUAGGGGUGCGAGCGUUAAUCGGAAUUACUGGGCGUAAAGCGUGCGC
rnacentral:rRNA from 1 species